rnacentral:rRNA from 1 species
AGAGUUUGAUCCUGGCUCAGAACGAACGCUGGCGGCGUGGAUAAGACAUGCAAGUCGAACGGGAGAAUUGCUAGCUUGCUAAUAAUUCUCUAGUGGCGCACGGGUGAGUAACACGUGAGUAACCUGCCUCUUAGUGGGGGAUAGCCCUGGGAAACCGGGAUUAAUACCGCAUACGAUUGAAAGAUCAAAGCAGCAAUGCGCUAGGAGAUGGGCUCGCGGCCUAUUAGUUAGUUGGUGAGGUAACGGCUCACCAAGGCGAUGACGGGUAGCCGGUCUGAGAGGAUGUCCGGCCACACUGGAACUGAGACACGGUCCAGACACCUACGGGUGGCAGCAGUCGAGAAUCAUUCACAAUGGGGGCAACCCUGAUGGUGCGACGCCGCGUGGGGGAAUGAAGGUCUUCGGAUUGUAAACCCCUGUCAUGUGGGAGCAAAUUAAAAAGAUAGUACCACAAGAGGAAGAGACGGCUAACUCUGUGCCAGCAGCCGCGGUAAUACAGAGGUCUCAAGCGUUGUUCGGAAUCACUGGGCGUAAAAGCGUGCGUAGGCUGUUUCGUAAGUCGUGUGUGAAAGGCNGGGGCUCAACCCCCUGGAUUGCACAUGAUACUGCGAGACUAGAGUAAUGGAGGGGGAACCGGAAUUCUCGGUGUAGCAGUGAAAUGCGUAGAUAUCGAGAGGAACACUCGUGGCGAAGGCGGGUUCCUGGACAUUAACUGACGCUGAGGCACGAAGGCCAGGGGAGCGAAAGGGAUUAGAUACCCCUGUAGUCCUGGCAGUGAACGGUGCACGCUUGGUGUGCGGGGAAUCGACCCCCUGCGUGCCGGAGCUAACGCGUUAAGCGUGCCGCCUGGGGAGUACGGUCGCAAGAUUAAAACUCAAAGAAAUUGACGGGGACCCGCACAAGCGGUGGAGUAUGUGGCUUAAUUCGAUGCAACGCGAAGAACCUUACCUGGGCUUGACAUCCCGAUGAAAAACCCGUAACGGGGUUCGCUCUUCGGAGCAUCGGAGACAGGUGGUGCAUGGUUGUCGUCAGCUCGUGUCGUGAGAUGUUGGGUUAAGUCCCGCAACGAGCGCAACCCUUAUUCUUAGUAGCCAGCAGGUAAGGCUGGGCACUCUAAGGAGACUGCCGGGGAUAACCCGGAGGAAGGUGGGGAUGACGUCAAAUCAUCAUGCCCCUUAUGAUCUGGGCUACACACGUGCUACAAUGGCGUAACAAAGGGAAGCGAGCCUGCGAGGGUGAGCAAAUCCCAAAAAUAACGUCCCAGUUCGGACUGUAGUCUGCAACCCGACUACACGAAGCUGGAAUCGCUAGUAAUCGCGGAUCAGAAUGCCGCGGUGAAUACGUUCCCGGGUCUUGCACUCACCGCCCGUCA